GCCAACAGUCAUACCACGUUGAAAAACACCAGUUCUCGUCCGAUCACUGAAGUUAAGCAACGUUGGGCAUGGUCAGUACUUGGAUGGGUGACCGCUUGGGAACACCAUGUACCGUUGGCAC
rnacentral:rRNA from 1 species